GAUGAACGCUGGCGGCGUGCCUAAUACAUGCAAGUCGAGCGAACGGACGAGAAGCUUGCUUCUCUGAUGUUAGCGGCGGACGGGUGAGUAACACGUGGAUAACCUACCUAUGAGACUGGGAUAACUUCGGGAAACCGGAGCUAAUACCGGAUAAUAUUUUGAACCGCAUGGUUCAAAAGUGAAAGACGGUCUUGCUGUCACUUAUAGAUGUAUCCGCGCUGCAUUAGCUAGUUGGUAAGGUAACGGCUUACCAAGGCAACGAUGCAUAGCCGACCUGAGAGGGUGAUCAGCCACACUGGAACUGAGACACGGUCCAGACUCCUACGGGAGGCAGCAGUAGGGAAUCUUCCGCAAUGGGCGAAAGCCUGACGGAGCAACGCCGCGUGAGUGAUGAAGGUCUUCGGAUCGUAAAACUCUGUUAGUAGGGAAGAACAUAUGUGUAAGUAACUGUGCACAUCUUGACGGUACCUAAUCAGAAAGCCACGGCUAACUACGUG
rnacentral:rRNA from 1 species